AAUGAACGCUGGCGGCAUGCCUUACACAUGCAAGUCGAACGGCAGCAUGACCUAGCUUGCUAGGUUGAUGGCGAGUGGCGAACGGGUGAGUAAUGCAUCGGAACGUGCCUUUUAGUGGGGGAUAACGUAGCGAAAGUUACGCUAAUACCGCAUAUUCUCUGAGGAGGAAAGCAGGGGACCUUCGGGCCUUGCGCUAGAAGAGCGGCCGAUGUCGGAUUAGCUAGUUGGUGAGGUAAAGGCUCACCAAGGCAACGAUCCGUAGCGGGUCUGAGAGGAUGAUCCGCCACACUGGGACUGAGACACGGCCCAGACUCCUACGGGAGGCAGCAGUGGGGAAUUUUGGACAAUGGGCGCAAGCCUGAUCCAGCCAUGCCGCGUGAGUGAAGGAGGCCUUCGGGUUGUAAAGCUCUUUCGGCUGGGAAGAAAUCGCACCCUCUAAUACAGGGUGUGGAUGACGGUACCAGCAUAAGAAGCACCGGCUAACUACGUG
rnacentral:rRNA from 1 species